rnacentral:rRNA from 1 species
UACGGGGGGGGCAAGCGUUGUUCGGAAUUACUGGGCGUAAAGGGCGCGUAGGCGGUUGGAUAAGUCAGCUGUGAAAACCACGGGCUUAACUCGUGGCCUACAGUUGAGACUGUCUGGCUUGAGUGUGGGAGAGGAGAGUGGAAUUCCUGGUGUAGCGGUGAAAUGCGUAGAUAUCAGGAGGAACACCGGUGGCGAAGGCGGCUCUCUGGACCACAACUGACGCUGAGGCGCGAAAACUAGGGGAGCAAACAGG